rnacentral:lncRNA from 1 species
UGUUUCUUCUUGAAUCACCUUUAGCUGCAUGUACAAUUUCUUGCAAUUAGUGUUGAUUUUGCCAGUUUUUCAUGGACUAGUCUAUAUUGCUUGAUGGGAAUGACCUGUUGUUCUUUUACACACAUUUAAUUCCAUUAAUGACAUGAAAAUAAUUGACUUCCAUUUUGAAAGUUUUUUUCUUUCUUUCAGACAUUUGAAUGUUGUGUGGUCUCUAUGAUGUUGUCCUUUACAUAG